rnacentral:rRNA from 1 species
GACAGAGGGUGCAAACGUUGUUCGGAUUUACUGGGCGUAAAGCGCGUGUAGGCGGCUUUGCAAGUCGGAUGUGAAAGCCCACGGCUCAACCGUGGAAGUGCAUCCGAAACUGCAUGGCUGGAGUCCCGGAGAGGAAGGUGGAAUGCUUGGUGUAGAGGUGAAAUUCGUAGAUAUCAAGCAGAACACCUGCGGCGAAGGCGGCCUUCUGGACGGUGACUGACGCUCAGACGCGAAAGCGUGGGGAGCAAACAGG